CCCAGUCUCCUGCGGAGCCCGUCUAUUCCCCCUGGUCCUUACGGAGUUCCCAGCAUCCACUACGGACUACGAGAAAUAGAUUUACCGAAUGAGACACAUGGAAUCACACUUUCCUUUGUAAAAAGACUGCCAGCCUGGCCAAGGAAGACAUAAAGUGAAAGGAGUGGUCGUAUGAGCCAGAUGAACGCGGGUGGGACCUGAAAGACAAGAGACCGAGUGGAUUACGAACCCUAGUGGAAACAGAGGUAAUAACUGCCAAAUCAAAUUUUUUACACUUAUCACAAACAAUACACCUGAUUGUUAUCGGGAUACCAUCCAU